CAGCCGUAAACAAUGUGCGUUAGGUGUGUCGGUAACCACGUGUUACUGAUGCGCCGAAGAGAAAUCGUGAAACGCACCACCUGGGAAGUACGGUCGCAAGGCUGAAACUUAAAGGAAUUGGCGGGGGAGCACCACAACAGGUGGAGCCUGCGGUUUAAUUGGAUUCAACGCCGGACAUCUCACCGGAUAAGACAGCUGAAUGAUUGUCAAUCUGAAGGUUUUACAUGACUAGCUGAGAGGUGGUGCAUGGCGUAGUCGUGU
rnacentral:rRNA from 1 species